rnacentral:rRNA from 1 species
AAAGCAGAUCGCAUGAUCAGCUUUUGAAAGGCGGYAUAAGCUGUCGCUAAGGGAUGGCCCCGCGGUGCAUUAGCUAGUUGGUAAGGUAACGGCUUACCAAGGCGACGAUGCAUAGSCGAGUUGAGAGACUGAUCGGCCACAUUGGGACUGAGACACGGCCCAAACUCCUACGGGAGGCAGCAGUAGGGAAUCUUCCACAAUGGACGCAAGUCUGAUGGAGCAACGCCGCGUGAGUGAAGAAGGUUUUCGGAUCGUAAAGCUCUGUUGUUGGUGAAGAAGGAUAGAGGUAGUAACUGGCCUUUAUUUGACGGUAAUCAACCAGAAAGUCACGGCUAACUACGUGCCAGCAGCCGCGGUAAUACGUAGGUGGCAAGCGUUGUCCGGAUUUAUUGGGCGUAAAGCGAGCGCAGGCGGAAAAAUAAGUCUAAUGUGAAAGCCCUCGGCUUAACCGAGGAACUGCAUCGGAAACUGUUUUUCUUGAGUGCAGAAGAGGAGAGUGGAACUCCAUGUGUAGCGGUGGAAUGCGUAGAUAUAUGGAAGAACACCAGUGGCGGAGGCGGCUCUCUGGUCUGCAACUGACGCUGAGGCUCGAAAGCAUGGGUAGCGAACAGGAUUAGAUACCCUGGUAGUCCAUGCCGUAAACGAUGAGCGCUAAGUGUUGGGAGGUUUCCGCCUCUCAGUGCUGCAGCUAACGCAUUAAGCACUCCGCCUGGGGAGUACGACCGCAAGGUUGAAACUCAAAGGAAUUGACGGGGGCCCGCACAAGCGGUGGAGCAUGUGGUUUAAUUCGAAGCAACGCGAAGAACCUUACCAGGUCUUGACAUCUAGUGCAAUCUGUAGAGAUACGGAGUUCCCUUCGGGGACGCUAAGACAGGUGGUGCAUGGCUGUCGUCAGCUCGUGUCGUGAGAUGUUGGGUUAAGUCCCGCAACGAGCGCAACCCUUGUUAUUAGUUGCCAGCAUUAAGUUGGGCACUCUAAUGAGACUGCCGGUGACAAACCGGAGGAAGGUGGGGAUGACGUCAAGUCAUCAUGCCCCUUAUGACCUGGGCUACACACGUGCUACAAUGGGCAGUACAACGAGAAGCAAGCCUGCGAAGGCAAGCGAAUCUCUG